rnacentral:rRNA from 1 species
UACGUAGGGGGCAAGCGUUGUCCGGAUUUAUUGGGCGUAAAGAGCGUGUAGGCGGCCUGAAAGGUCAGCUGUGAAAACUCGAGGCUCAACCUCGAGACGUCGGUUGAAACCAUCUGGCUAGAGUCCGGAAGAGGAGUGUGGAAUUCCUGGUGUAGCGGUGAAAUGCGCAGAUAUCAGGAGGAACACCGGUGGCGAAGGCGGGUCUCUGGGCCGAUACUGACACUGAGGAGCGAAAGCGUGGGGAGCGAACAGG